rnacentral:rRNA from 1 species
GACGAACGCUGGCGGCGUGCUUAACACAUGCAAGUCGAACGGAAAGGCCUCUUUCGGGGGGUACUCGAGUUGCGAACGGGUGAGUAACACGUAAGUAACCUGCCCUUCACUUUGGGUUAACUUCAGGAAACUGGGGCUAAUACCGGAUAGGAGCUCCUGCUGCAUGGUUGGUGUUGGAAAGUUUCGGCGGGUGGGUGUGGACUCGCGGCUUAUCCGCUUGUUAGUGGGGAAGUGGCUUGCCAAGGCGUUGCCGAGUAGCCGGACUGAGAGGGUGAUAGGCCACACUGGGACUGAGAGGCGGCCCAGAUUCCGACGGGAGGCAGCAGUGGGGAAUACUGCACAAGGGGUGGCAGCCUGAUGCAGAAACGCCGUGGGCGGGAUGACGGCCUUCGGGUUGUAAACCGCUUGCGCUCAUGACGAAGCUUUGUGUGACGGUAGUGGGUAAAGAAGCACCGGCUAACUACGUG